AUAUUAUGCAUUUUAGUCCUACUAAUAUUUAAGUGUUUUUAGCAUUGUGUUAGUAUACAUUGAAUAUAUCAUAGUUCAUUUGUAAAAUUAAAAGAUAAAAAAAUAUGACUAAAAUUUUCAAAUUUAUUUAUGUUAUAAUUUUGUUUUUGUCCAUAUUCCUUCUUCCAGCGAAAGCUAUCGUUCCAUGUCAAACUGUUGAAGAUUGUUCAAUGAUCUAUACUAAAGGGACUAAGUUUAACGGGAAAAUGUUUGAUAGCAUUCUCCUGUGUAAACGUAACGUAUGUCUUUUGGUUGUGUUGUUAUAAGAAACAAAUAUAAAAAUAAACUAUGAAUAAUAUAUUUAUAUAUGAUUAUAAAUAUUUUCAAUUUUUAUUAAAUAUAUAUAUUUUAUGCAUGCA